rnacentral:miRNA from 1 species
ACGGGGACGAGACAGAGCAUG